rnacentral:rRNA from 1 species
CCUACGGGCGGCAGCAGUAGGGAAUAUUGCUCAAUGGGGGAAACCCUGAAGCAGCAACGCCGCGUGGAGGAUGAAGGUUUUAGGAUUGUAAACUCCUUUUGUUAGAGAAGAUUAUGACGGUAUCUAACGAAUAAGCACCGGCUAACUCCGUGCCAGCAGCCGCGGUAAUACGGAGGGUGCAAGCGUUACUCGGAAUCACUGGGCGUAAAGAGUGCGUAGGCGGGGUAAUAAGUCAGAUGUGAAAUCCUGUAGCUUAACUACAGAACUGCAUUUGAAACUGUUACUCUGGAGUGUGGGAGAGGUAGGUGGAAUUCUUGGUGUAGGGGUAAAAUCCGUAGAGAUCUGGAGGAACAUCAGUGGCGAAGGCGACUAUCUGGCACAUAACUGACGCUGAGGAGCGAAAGCGUGGGUAGCAAACAGGAUUAGAUACCCGUGUAGUC